AUGACAAUACCAGAGCAAGUGGACGACGCAUUGUCCGCAAAGCAAUCGACAAGCGACAACGCCGAAGACGGGCUGAAACUGCUCGACACAUUCAUACAGGAAACAAACGAGCGCAUAACCUCCAAGGCCGAAACGCGUAACGUUAAUCAAAAUGCACCCAACACAAGACCGAGCGAGUCGUACUUCUCGAAACUGGAUUCCAGUCUCAAGAAGAACACGACAUUUGUCAAGAAAAUCAAAAACUUCACGUCCACACAGAUUGAUGCCUACCUGAAGGAUAUGUCCACAUUGAACUUGUCAAAGUAUAUUUCAGAAAUUGCAGCUGCAAUUGUUGAUUCCAAGCUGAAGAUGACUGAUGUGGCAGCUGCAAUUAAAAUGUGCUGUGUGUUACAUCAGACUUAUUCCGAUUUCUCACAGCAUUUGUUUGAGAAUUGGCAAAAAACUUUAUCAUUCAAAAUGGGUGAAAAGAUUCCAAACCCAUCCAAAUUAAGGGUUGAUUUAAGAUUCUAUGCUGACUUGGUUAGUGUAAGCAUGUUUAACAAUAAAACUGCUUUCACCCUACUUGGAACAGCACUCACCAUACUAAUAAAUAUGGAUAAGGAAGAGCAUUUGAAUGUUUCAAUUAUUUUGAGCUUUUGUAAACACUGUGGAGAUGAUUAUGCUGGUUUGGUACCAAGGAAAAUCAAAGAGUUAUCUAUAAAAUAUAACAAAACAAUACAAAGAUCAGGAUUUUUGCUGCCUGAGCAGCAGAAUAAGGUGAAAUCUUUGCUCAAAGAUUAUUAUGCUUCUUUGUGCAAACAUUUAAUCAAGGAUCACAAUGAAAUGCAAGAAUUUGAGAAGCAAAAUCAUAGGAUUAUGCAGACUAAGGGCGAAUUGAGUCAAGAGAGGAAGGAUAGAUUGGAAUCACUGAGAAAUUCCUAUGACAAAUUAUUUACAGCGACGCAGAAUUUUGCAGAGAUUCUUGAUGAAGAUAUGCCCGAACUACGAGCUAAUCUUAUCAUAAAAGAAGAAGAGAGUAUGGUUGUAACAGGUGCAGGUGCUAAUAUGGAUUUAGACAGUGCUCAAGCUUCCGGGGAAAAUAUAUGGGGCGAUUCGGAAACGCAAAAGUUUUAUUGCGAAUUGCUCGAGUUACAAGCGUUUUUACCGUCUUCAAUGUUAAAAAAUGUUCCGCCAAAACCCGAAGCCGAGUCGGAAGUCACCGAAGAAGUUUUGGAUUCGGAGAUACCUGCCGAAGAAGUCGAAGAUGACGGUAAAGUCGAAGAACCGUCUAUAGCAGAAGAAGAAGUAGAAGAUACAUCUGCAGUGACAGUGAGUAAUAAAAUAGUCUUGGAAGCAUUCUUGAACAGUUUACCCAAUUGUGUAAAUCGCGAAUUAAUCGACAACGCAGCAAUCGAUUUUCUUGUCACGCUCAACACGAAACACAAUCGUCGCAAACUAGUACGCACAUUGUUUGGCGUUAAUCGCACACGUUUGGAUCUACUACCCUUUUACGGCCGCUUCGUCGCAAUUCUUUAUCCUGCACUGCCAGAAAUAAGUAACGAACUAUGCGCGAUGCUGCGCCAGGAUUUCAAGUACCACGUGCGCAAGAAGGAUCAGAUCAACAUCGAGUCGAAGAUUAAAGUGGUGCGUUACAUUGGCGAAUUGGUUAAAUUCAAUUUGUAUUCAAAGAUUGAAGCGUUGUAUUGCUUGAAAGUUCUGCUCUAUGAUUUUUCGCAUCAUCACAUUGAAAUGGCGUGCAAUUUGCUGGAAGUUUGUGGACAUUACUUAUUUAACCAUCCGGAAUCACAUCAGCGGACAAAAGUGUAUUUAGAGCAGAUGAUGCGCAAGAAGGCAGUUAUGGCAUUGGACUCUAGAUAUGUCACGCAGAUAGAAAAUGCGUAUUAUUAUGUAAAUCCGCCGGAGAGUGUGACUAUUCCGAAGAAAGAACGUCCGCCGAUGCAUCAAUUCAUCCGCAAAUUGCUUUAUCAGGACUUGCAGAAGAAUAAUACGGAUAAGAUUUUAAAACUGAUGCGGAAACUUAAUUGGCAAGAUGAGGACAUUUCGGCGUAUACUGUUAAAUGUCUCACAAGUGCGCACAAUAUGAAAUAUUUAAAUAUCAAGUGGCUGGCGAAUUUACUUGCUGGAUUAGUUUCAUACCAAGAAGAAGUUGGAACUAAAGUAGUUGAUGGCGUUCUGGAAGAUAUUCGACUUGGAAUGGAAGUGAAUGUUCCGAAAUUCAAUCAGCGGCGAGUCGCACAAGUGAAAUAUUUGGGCGAAUUGUAUAACUAUCGGAUGGUGGAAAGUGCUGACAUCUUUAAGGUCUUAUAUUCUCUGAUUAGUUUUGGAGUGAGCAUGGAUGUAGAAAAUCCAUCGCCGCUUGAUCCUCCUAAUCAUUUAUUCCGCAUACGAUUGGCGUGCGUUUUGAUGGAAACAUGUGGUAUGUAUUUCAGCAGCGGCGCAAGUAAAAAGAAACUGGAUUAUUUUCUAGUCUUCUUCCAAGCGUACUACUGGUUCAAACGGGGUCUUUGGGGUGAAGCGUUUCCUCCACCGAUGGAACACUUGUUCCGUGAUACGUUGCAUCAACUACGACCGAAGUUGACGCUGGUGCAAAGUUAUGAAGAGGCGCAGAAGGAAAUAGAGAAGAUUCGCAAAGCAUUAGACAUUGAAAAGUUAACUACCGUUGAGGAGAAUAAAGAAGAUGGUUUAGAAGUAAUCCAAGAGACUGACAACGAAGAUCCCGCCGAUGAUGAAGCGUCUGACUGUGUGACAAAUCCCAUCACCGAUGACACGGCGACAGAGGAUGAAACACAAGAUCACACGCAAGGGUCUGAUGAUGAAGGCGAAGCAAUGGAACAACUCAGUGAGGCAGAGCCGGACGGUGAAGAAGAAGUCAGUGAAACAGAGGCGAUACCGAGUGGGCCAAAACGCGUGGACUGUCCUGAAGAUGAUGAUUUUCAGAAUGCCUUAGACAAAAUGGUCUCUGAGAAUAUUCAGGAAAGAAUGCGCGAGACUGUCAAGACAUCCGUCGAUAUUUCGGUGCCAUUUGUUCUCAAGUCCAAUAAGAAAACAUACGACCAAUUGCAGGAAACUGAAGAAGCUACGUCAAAUACGAUGGGAUUCGUACUAAUGGUACGCAAAGGCAACAAACAACAGUACAAAACGUUUCAGGCGGAUGUGAAUUCAGAGUUGGCGCAGAACUUGCGCGAUCAAGAACAAGCGCAGAAAGAAGAAAAACAAAAAGUAAAAAGACUGACGUUAAAUAUAACCGAACGAUUCGAAGAGGAAGACUAUCAAGAAAUGAUUCUGCAGCAGAGCAGGCCGCCAGUGACGCAAAAUCUGAAUCGCGAACGGAAAAAAUAUCAGCACCCAAAAGGCGCGCCAGACGCCGAUUUGAUCUUCGGGAAGCGGUUACCAUAAUCACCGCCUGCGCCGGCAUCAUCAUUUGAGAUGGGCUCGUUGUCGGCAUCUUCAUAAAUUUCGUCUUCUUCAUCAUCCAUAUCUGCUGGGUCUGGAUUUAAUGCCUAAUGCAAGAUUCAGCAUCACUAUCCUCAUCACUGACAGCAGCUGGGACUUCAUAGUUGACUCCUAUCCCAAAUGUAACAAUUAAUAAAUGAUUUAAACAACAAGAAUAAAAUGAAGAAAACCAACCUGGCA